rnacentral:tRNA from 1 species
GCCCCAGUAGCCCAACGGCAGAGGCGUCCGGCUCAGAACCGGUACAGUAGAGGUUCAAAUCCUCUCUGGGGUA